rnacentral:tRNA from 1 species
GGGGAAAAUGGGAACCAAGCAAGGAAUGUGUGAGAUCUCGGGACAACUGUAAAUCUGCUCACGUAAGUGUACGCUGGUUCGAAUCCAGCCCUGACCACCA